rnacentral:rRNA from 1 species
AUUGAACGCUGGCGGCAGGCCUAACACAUGCAAGUCGAGCGGAGCGGCGGACGGGUGAGUAAUGCCUAGGAAUCUGCCUGGUAGUGGGGGAUAACGUCCGGCAACGGGCGCUAAUACCACAUACUAUCAGAUGAGCCUAGGUCGGAUAAGCUAGUUGGUGGGGUAAAGGCCUACCAAGGCGACGAUCCGUAACUGGUCUGAGAGGAGGCACAGUCACACUGGAACGUGGACACGGUCCGUACUCCUACGGGAGGCAGAAGUGGGGAAUAUUGGACAAGGGGGGAAAUCCUGAGCCAGCCAUGCCGGUUGUGGGAAGAAGGUCUUCGGAUUGUAAAGCACUUUAAGUUGGGAGGCGUUACCAACAGAAUAAGCACCGGCUAACUUCGUGCCAGCAGCCGCGGUAAUAC